CAGCACCUCAAGUGGUCAGGAUGAUUAUUGGGCCUAAAGCAUCCGUAGCCGGCUCUGUAAGUUUUCGGUUAAAUCUGUACGCUCAACGUACAGGCUGCCGGGAAUACUGCAGAGCUAGGGAGUGGGAGAGGUAGACGGUACUCGGUAGGAAGGGGUAAAAUCCUUUGAUCUAUUGAUGACCACCUGUGGCGAAGGCGGUCUACCAGAACACGUCCGACGGUGAGGGAUGAUAGCUGGGGGAGCAAACCGGAUUAGAUACCCGAGUAGACC
rnacentral:rRNA from 1 species